CUACCAAGGCGACGACGGGUAGCUGGUCUGAGAGGAUGGUCAGCCACAAGGGAACUGCGACACGGUCCCUACACCUACGGGUGGCAGCAACUAGGAAUAUUCGGCAAUGGGCGAAAGCCUGACCGAGCGACGCCGCGUGGAGGAUUGAAGGCCUUCGGGUUGUAAACUCCUUUUACGAGGGAAGAUUAUGAUGGUCCCUCGCGAAUAAGCACCUUCUAACUACGUGCCAGAAGCCUCGGUAAUACGUAGGGUGCAAACGUUAUCCGGAAUCAUUGGGCGUAAAGAGUUGCGUAGGCGGUUCGAUGCAUUUUGUUUGAAAUACUAUGGCUUAACUAUAGAUUUGGACAAAAUAUGAUCGGACUUGAUGGUAUGAGGGGGUGUUGGAACCGAUUAUGGAGCGGUGAAAUGCGUUGAUAUAAUCGGGAACACCGAAGGCGUAGGCAGACACCUAGCAUAUCCAUGACGCUUAGGCACGAAAGCUUGGGGAGCGAAGCAGAUUAGAGACCUGCGUAGUCCAAGCAGUAAACGAUGUCCGCUAGUUAUUCGUGGUCGAUUUAUCGACUGUGGGUGACGAAGCUAACGCGUUAAGCGGAUCGCCUGGGGAGUACGAACGCAAGUUUAAAACUCAAAGGAAUUGACGGGGAGGCGCACAAGCAGUGGAGCGUGUGGUUUAAUUCGAUUCCAAGCGAAGAACCUCACCAGGACUUGACAUGUAUCUGCAAGCGCACGGAAACGUGUGACCUUAGAGGGUGAUACACAGAUGCUGCAUGGCUGUCGUCAGCUCGUGGCGUGAGCUGUUUCCUUAAGUGGAUCAACGAGCGCAACCCCCACCGUAUGUUAAAUUGUUCAUACGGAACUGCCCCGCAUUUGCGGGGAGGAAGGCGGGGAUGACGUCAAGUCAGCACGGCUCUUACGUCCUGGGCUACACACACCCUACAAUGGCGAAAAACAACGAGUUGCAAGCCGGUAACGGUAAGCUAAUCUCUCAAAUUUCGCCUCAGUUCAGAUUGAGGUCUGAAAUUCGACCUCAUGAAGGAGGAAUUGCUAGUAAUCGCGAAUCAGCAGGUCGCGGUGAAUACGUUCUCGCCUCUUGUACUAUUAAAUUGCGCCUUUCGGCCAAUUUUUCCAGAAGGUGUAAAUCCUUCUAAGUAAUGCAAGUACUUAAAGUGAAAUAGCAUCCUUCAACAGUAAUGUUGGAGAGAGAAGGGCUAAAGUAACAGUUAACAG
rnacentral:rRNA from 1 species